rnacentral:rRNA from 1 species
AAUAUUGGGCAAUGGGCGCAAGCCUGACCCAGCGACGCCGCGUGAGGGAAGAAGGUCUUCGGAUUGUAAACCUCUUUUAUAGGGGAAGAAAAGCAGCUUCGGCUGCCGUGACGGUACCCUAAGAAAAAGCCACGGCUAACUACGUGCCAGCAGCCGCGGUAAUACGUAGGUGGCGAGCGUUAAUCGGAAUUACUGGGCGUAAAGGGUGCGCAGGCGGCCUGGCAAGAAAGGUGUGAAAUCCCAGGGCUUAACCUUGGAAUGGCACUUUUAACUGCCAAGCUAGAGUAUGUCAGAGGGGGGUAGAAUUCCACGUGUAGCAGUGAAAUGCGUAGAGAUGUGGAGGAAUACCGAUGGCGAAGGCAGCCCCCUGGGAUAAUACUGACGCUCAGGCACGAAAGCGUGGGGAGCAAACA